ensembl:lncRNA
AUGGGGACAUUAAAGCCUCUGGUCCCUAAACAUCCACAUCAGGAGUCUCUGUAUGGGAUAUAUGAGAGCAGGACCCUCCAGAGAUUAGGAGGAGGAAAGGGGACAUCAGGUCACCGUAGCCACCAGAUCCAGUCUGUAUCCAGGUCAGAUGGUCACUGCAGUCACCCGGAUCCAGUAUGUAUCCAGCCCAGAUGGUGGUCAGCACCUGGGAAGGACCUCUACAGCCCUGAAUGUCCGCGGAGACCAGGACAACUAGAUGAGCCCCAGAUACAGAUCCCCUGUAAAGACCUUGUCUCAGAUGACCACCGGGACAAGACCACAGGAACCAGUUGAGUCCUCUGCACAAUUUGUCUUUGCUGCAGCCUGGAAUUGAACUGCUGGUUUCGUCUGGUCAGAGGAGAACUGGCCCCAGACUGAGCCUGGUUUCUCCCAAGGUUUUUUCUCCAUUCUGUCACCGAUGGAGUUUUGGUUCCUCUGGCUUGCUUAGUUGGGGACACUUCAUUUCCAGUGACAUCGUCGACUUGAUUGCACAGAUACUAUUUAAACUGAACUGAGAUGAUGAAAUCAAUGAAUUCAAUGAUAAACUGCCUUUAACUGAAAAAUGAGUGUUUACUAUUGUCAUUUUGCAUUAGACACUAUUUUCCUAAUUAAUGCUGUACAGUAAGCUUUGACACAAUCUGUAUUGUUAAAAGCGCUAUACAGGUCCUUCUAAAAAAAUUAGCAUAUUGUGAAAAAGUUCAUUAUUUUCCAUAAUGUAAUGAUAAAAAUUAAACUUUCAUAUAUUUUAGAUUCAUUGCACA